GACGAACGCUGGCGGCGUGCUUUAGGCAUGCAAGUCGAACGCGAAAGCCCCUUCGGGGGUGAGUAGAGUGGCGAACGGGUGAGUAACACGUGGGUAACCUGCCCCUCGCAGGGGGAUAACCGGGGGAAACCCCGGCUAAUACCCCGUACGCUUGCUGGGGCGCAUGCUCCGGCAAGGAAAGGUAGCUUCGGCCAUCCGGCGAGGGAGGGGCCCGCGGCCCAUUAGCUAGUUGGUGGGGUAACGGCCCACCAAGGCGACGAUGGGUAGCUGGCCUGAGAGGGUGGUCAGCCACACUGGGACUGAGACACGGCCCAAACUCCUACGGGAGGCAGCAGCCAGGAAUCUUGCGCAAUGGGCGAAAGCCUGACGCAGCAACGCCGCGUGGGCGAUGAAGGCCUUCGGGUCGUAAAGCCCUGUUGUCGGGGACGAAGGGCGAAGGGUUAAUAGCCCCUAGCCUGACGGUACCCGACGAGGAAGCCCCGGCUAACUACGUG
rnacentral:rRNA from 1 species